rnacentral:lncRNA from 1 species
CGAGGAAAACCGUGUACUAUUAGCCAUGGUCAACCCCACCGUGUUCUUCGACAUUGCCGUCGACGGCGAGCCCUUGGGCCGCGUCUCCUUUGAGGUUGGAUGGCAAGCAUGUGGUGUUUGGCAAAGUGAAAGAAGGCAUGAAUAUUGUGGAGGCCAUGGAGCGCUUUGGGUCCAGGAAUGGCAAGACCAGCAAGAAGAUCACCAUUGCUGACUGUGGACAACUCGAAUAAGUUUGACUUGUGUUUUAUCUUAACCACCAGAUCAUUCCUUCUGUAGCUCAGGAGAGCACCCCUCCACCCCAUUUGCUCGCAGUAUCCUAGAAUCUUUGUGCUCUCGCUGCAGUUCCCUUUGGGUUCCAUGUUUUCCUUGUUCCCUCCCAUGCCUAGCUGGAUUGCAGAGUUAAGUUUAUGAUUAUGAAAUAAAAACUAAAUAACAAUUGUCCUCGUUUG